rnacentral:rRNA from 1 species
ACCUGCGGAAGGAUCAUUAUUGAAUGAACUUGGUGUGGUUGUAGCUGGCCCUCUUGAAAAGGGCAUGUGCACACCCACCAUCCUCAUCUCUCCACCUGUGCACCUCUUGUAGACUUGGAUUGACUUUCCGAGGCAACUCGGUCGGGAGGACUGCUGCUGGCACUAGCUGGCUUUCCUUGCAUUUCCAAGUCUACGUUUUUCAUAUACCCUAUCGUAUGUAAUAGAAUGUAUCAUUGGGCACUUGUGCCUAUAAACCUUAUACAACUUUCAGCAACGGAUCUCUUGGCUCUCGCAUCGAUGAAGAACGCAGCGAAAUGCGAUAAGUAAUGUGAAUUGCAGAAUUCAGUGAAUCAUCGAAUCUUUGAACGCACCUUGCGCUCCUUGGUAUUCCGAGGAGCAUGCCUGUUUGAGUGUCAUUAAAUUCUCAACCUUUAUCAGCUUUUGUUGAUAAUGGCUUGGAUAUGGGGGUUUAUUUUUGCUGGCUUCUUCACGGAUGGUCAGCUCCCCUUAAAUGCAUUAGCCGGUGCCCCGCGUGGACUGUCUAUUGGUGUGAUAAUUAUCUACGCCGUGGACAUCUGCAGUCAUAUGGGUUUGCACUGCUUCUAACCGUCUGUUCAUUCAGACAAUAUAUGACAAUUUGACC